rnacentral:rRNA from 1 species
CAGGAUUAGAUACCCUGGUAGUCCACGCCGUAAACGAUGUCGACUUGGAGGUUGUGCCCUUGAGGCGUGGCUUCCGGAGCUAACGCGUUAAGUCGACCGCCCGGGGAGUACGGCCGCAAGGUUAAAACUCAAAUGAAUUGACGGGGGCCCGCACAAGCGGUGGAGCAUGUGGUUUAAUUCGAUGCAACGCGAAGAACCUUACCUGGUCUUGACAUCCACGGAAGUUUUCAGAGAUGAGAAUGUGCCUUCGGGAACCGUGAGACAGGUGCUGCAUGGCUGUCGUCAGCUCGUGUUGUGAAAUGUUGGGUUAAGUCCCGCAACGAGCGCAACCCUUAUCCUUUGUUGCCAGCGGUCCGGCCGGGAACUCAAAGGAGACUGCCAGUGAUAAACUGGAGGAAGGUGGGGAUGACGUCAAGUCAUCAUGGCCCUUACGACCAGGGCUACACACGUGCUACAAUGGCGCAUACAAAGAGAAGCGACCUCGCGAGAGCAAGCGGACCUUAUAAAGUGCGUCGUAGUCCGGAUUGGAGUCUGCAACUCGACUCCAUGAAGUCGGAAUCGCUAGUAAUCGUGGAUCAGAAUGCCACGGUGAAUACGUUCCCGGGCCUUGUACACACCGCCCGUCACACCAUGGGAGUGGGUUGCAAAAGAAGUAGGUAGCUUAACCUUCGGGAGGGCGCUUACCACUUUGUGAUUCAUGACUGGGGUGAAGUCGUAACAAGGUAACC